CCGAACCUGACAUUACUGUGUGUUUGAAGGGUACAAACUCAAGCACAAAACUUUUGAGGCAUGUAGGAAUCCUUGUGUUGUAAAGCUUGAGGUAGUUACCUCAUCGGUAGAUAGUAUCUCCUUCCCUCUUCAUAUAGGUUUUAUGGCACAGUAUAUUCACCUGAUGAAAGUUGUUUCCACACACAGCUUGCUGUUAAUUGGAUUAGGGUAAAUAUUGCAUUGUGUAAUACUCGAUUACUUAGGGAGCUUCUUUAAAAUCUACCAUAGUGAUACUACCCCAGUAGAGCUUGCAUGUGUCCCUAUUUUGCUUUAAUAUCACAGUUCAAACCUCACCCAAUCUUCUCUUGUUUCAGAAAUGUGGUAGCUCUGCAUGUCUCCCGAUGGGCAAGCAGUGGUGCUGCUGUUGUUGCUCCUGCAGCAGCCACCUGGCACCCCCCUCUCUCCAAAAGGCUGUUCCUGGCCACAGUUUGGUCUAGGUGGGAGUCAUGCUGCAGGUUGGCAGUAAUGCUUUGCUCCUCCAUUUGGUGUCUCCCUUGUUCCAGGAAUAUAGACAUGUUUCUGAUUUCCUUUGGCUGCAAAGGGUUAAGCCAUACUCUUUAUUUUUAUGUGUGAUGGUUAGAUCCUCUCCAGAGAGACUACCUUAGGAGAAAGGAUUGGAUAAUUAAUGAAAAGGAGCAGCCCUUGCAGCCAAAGUAAUUUGGAGAGCAGUUGUUCCCCUCUUUUAAAUCAAGGUGGCAUUUACAGAAAUAGUGUGGAGUGCAAUUCAGCAGAAGCUGUAAAAGAGGCUUGUGUGCUGAUCGACUGGUCCUCUCUAAGCUAGCGUGUCCAGGAAGCAAGGUACCAAUCAGCUUUUGAGUUGACUAAAAGAACAUGCAGAAAUAAUGCCCCAAUGAUCCAGCGCAGUAUGGUCAGCCAGCCAUUCUGACCUAGGCAGGGUUCUGCAACAAGAAGUGUGCAUAGCUGAAUAUAAGGUCCAGCCAGUCCAGCUCUGUAAAAAAAAAACAAACUUUUUUUGCAGCACCAAACUAUCAAGCUGUUCCACCUCCUGAGAGCAACAUAGCCUCCCUCAUUUACUACCUUCAAAAUUGGUGAGCUACAUCUUCCAUCAUCCCUAGCCAUUGACUGGCUGGGAAUGAUUAGGAUCAUCUAGUCAACCCAUCUAGAAGACUCCAGGUUCCCCAUCUCUCUAGGAAACUUGUUUUAGACAAAAAGAGCCUUUCUCUUUCUUUUACUAUGGGAGAUGUAUUGGUUACCAGUUGGCUUCCAGGUGUUUUCAAGAUGCUAGUUGUUACAUUUAAGGCCCUUAAUGGUUUUCAGCCUGCUUGUCUGAGGGACCACCAUCUCCCAUAUUGAUCUGCUAUCCAGUCAGGUCAAACAGGGUCAACUCCCUCCAGGCCCAGUCUAUCUGAGAAUGCCAUUUGGACAGGACCUAGGAAAUGGGCAUUUUCUAUCACUUCCCUGCAGAAAUCUGGUCUACCUGUUCCCUCCUGGGUUUCAGGAGAGCAAUUAAGAGUUGGCUUUCCUAUGUAGACCAGGAGGAAGGCAUGUUAUGAAUGCUGGGAUGUAUUGGUGGACACAUGGCUUUGUAUGUUUUGUCCCUUACAAUGUUGUUACAUUUUUUAAAUUAUUUCUUUCAAGUGAGCUUAUUUUUUUCUUAGAGGGGCCUUUUUGUGAUGUUUCUGAUAGACACUCAGAGUUUUUGGGAAUGGGAGGGGGGCGUAUGGAUGAAUGGAUGUUGACCCCAAUGAAUGUUUGACCAGUUCUGACAUUACUCCAUAGUUGAUUUGAUUUAUACUUAUUAUUCUUUCCCAACUCACUCAACCCCUUUUAAUUCUUAAAUCUCCCAAACCAAGGGGAAAGCUAAGAAGUGCAUUACCCUGAGUUUCACUACUUUUAAGUAGAACAUGUUCAGUUAAAAGGAAUAUGGUUUAGGAGCCAGAUAGCAUUGGUCACAGGAUGGUCAAGGCAGGAAAAGAAGUCUCUAUUCUAUUGUUUUCUCCUAAAUAUUUUCUUUUCCUCUAGGUAUUUUGUUUACAGGUGAGCUUUGGGAAUUCUUGAGUUUCACUGAGCGUUAUCCUACCAUCAUCUAUAAUAUCCUUCUCUUUGGUCUAACCAGUGCUCUAGGUCAGAGUUUCAUUUUCAUGACUGUGGUCUAUUUUGGGCCUCUGACCUGCUCUAUUGUCACCACGACUCGCAAGUUCUUCACCAUUUUGGCAUCAGUCAUCCUAUUUGCCAAUCCUAUCACCAACUUGCAGUGGGUGGGCACCACCCUGGUAUUCCUUGGACUUGGCCUGGAUGCCAAAUUUGGGAAAGCAUCAAAGAAAACCUCACAUUAAGAAGAUUUUUGGUGUUUCUCUUGAAAACCUUAAGCAUAAGGAACUAUUAACUUAUUGUCUUAUUUCCCAGUACUGGGAAUUGGACUCAGGAUGAGUGCUUGGGGAAAGGGGACCAGAUAGGGUGGGUUGUUUUUAAUUCAAAAUGUGUUUGAUUUUUUUUUAAUGGUGGUUUUAUUUUACUAAAAAUCAAAGAAGUUAACUUUUCCAUAUCUACUGAGGAAUCAAAACUGUGGUUGAUGUAUGGCUAAAAUAAAUUCUUGAUGGAAUAGGAGGAAUGCUUCAUAUCAAAUAAAAGGAGGGGAGAGAAAGAAA